rnacentral:rRNA from 1 species
UACGGAGGAUGCGAGCGUUAUCCGGAUUUAUUGGGUUUAAAGGGUGCGUAGGCGGACUGUCAAGUCAGCGGUAAAAUUGAGAGGCUCAACCUCUUCCCGCCGUUGAAACUGGUGGUCUUGAGUGGAUGAGAAGUACGCGGAAUGCGUGGUGUAGCGGUGAAAUGCAUAGAUAUCACGCAGAACUCCGUUUGCGAAGGCAGCGUACCGGCAUCCAACUGACGCUGAGGCACGAAAGCGUGGGGAUCAAACAGG